UAGUGUUACUUGUCCUAGACCAUAAUUAUCAUAAUGUACUCAAAUAGUAUGUACUCCUUUGUGUAAUUCUUCCACUUAGCAUAAUGUUUUUGAGGUUCAUGCAUGUUGCAGUAGCUUGUUCCUUUUUAUUGCUAAGUAGUAAUCAUAUGACCAUGCAUCAGUUUAUCUACUUUCUUGAUUGACAAACAUCUUUUUCCAGUUUUUGGACAUUGUAAACAGGACUGCUAUAAACAUUUUUGUGAAGUCUUUUUGUGGACUUAAGUUUUCAUUUCUCUUGGGUAAACACCUAUAAGUGGAAUUGCCAGGUCAUAGUAGAGGGGUAUGUUUACUUUAAAAAAGAAAUUGUCAGACCUUUUCCAAAGUGGUUGUACCAUUCCCACUCUCACCAAAAAAGUACUAGAGUUUUGUUUUCCUUACAUCCUUGCCAGCAUUUGGUGUUGUCAGUCUUUCCAGUUGUAGCUAUUCUGGUAAUUUUGAAGUAGUAUCUUAUUCAUAUUUUUGCCUAUGUAUUUUAAAGUGUGUUCCUUUCAACCAUUGCUGAAAUAUUUAGUGAAUAUAGAGAAAAUAAAAAGAAUAGGAAAUUAAUGGGAAAAUGUUGCUGGAUGUAUAAGCCCUUUCCUCAAAUGCUAUAAUCCCAUGUGAUGUUCAGAGAGCAGGGUGAUGAGCAAGGAACAUCUGGAAUCCAGGCAGAACAACAUUCAAAUCCCAGCUUUGUGACUUAGUAACCUGGGGUUCUUUUGUAUAAUACAUAAAACCUCUGAUUUUCAGUUUCCUGAUAAAAUUAUGGAGAAAAAACACUUAAAGUUAUGUUCAGCAUUAAACACAGAAUUAUAGUUACAAUUUUGAUAUGAGACAGCCUGAGACCAUUAGCUGCGACUUUGUAAAUUUUGCUUAACUUUUUGACAUGUCUGUUUCUGCACUUAUAAAAUGGGAAAAUAAGUCUAAACAGAGUAUGCUUGGCAUGGCUUCAAAGAUAUAUAAUAGCAACCAACUUCUAUGAUUUGAAUGUGUCCCCCAAAUUUCAUGUGUUGGAAAUUUAAUUUCCACUGCAACAGUGUUAGGAGGUGGGGACCAAUAAUAGGUGAUCAGAUCAUUAGGGUUCUGCCCUCAUGAAUUAAUUACUGUUGUUAUCAUGGUAGUAGGUUACUAUCAAAGUAAGUUCAGCUUCCUUAUUCUCUCUUGCUCUCACCGUCUCUUGCCCUUCUGCCUUCCCCCAUGACAUAGCAUGAAGGCUCUCACCAAGUGCUGGUGUCAUGUUCUUGGACCUUCCAGUUCCCAGAACCAUGAAACAAAUAAACUUCUAUUGUUUAUAAAUUACCUAGUCUGUGGUAUUCUGUAUUGGUAUUCUGUAAUAGCAACACAAAACAGAUGAAGACACCAAUAUUUCUAUAAAACUUACUACGUACUAUGUUUAGCAAUAUACAUGGAUCAUUUAAUUCAAAUCUCACAAGUUCCACAAGCUUAAAAGGCGGGUGCAUCAUUAUCUCCAUUUUGCAAGGGCUUUGCAAAAUCUUGUGACUUACCUCAGCUUUCACAGCAAGUAGCCACACUCUGAAACCUGUGAAUACAUUGUCUCCACUAAAAAAAAAA
rnacentral:lncRNA from 1 species